rnacentral:tRNA from 1 species
AGUCCCGCAGCAAAACUGGUAGAGCGUGCACUGUACAAAAAAUGUAGGUGGCCUCCAUGCGUGGGUUCGAAUCCCACCGGGGCUA